rnacentral:tRNA from 1 species
GGCGGAUGUAGCCAAGUGGAAUCAGGCAGU